rnacentral:rRNA from 1 species
UACGUAGGGUGCGAGCGUUAAUCGGAAUCACUGGGCGUAAAGCGCACGUAGGCGGAUCUUUAAGUCAGGGGUGAAAUCCCAAGGCUCAACCUUGGAACUGCCUUUGAUACUGGGGAUCUCGAGUCCGGAAGAGGUUGGUGGAACUGCGAGUGUAGAGGUGAAAUUCGUAGAUAUUCGCAAGAACACCAGUGGCGAAGGCGGCCAACUGGUCCGGUACUGACGCUGAGGUGCGAAAGCGUGGGGAGCAAAUAGGG